rnacentral:rRNA from 1 species
AUCUUGGUUCAGGACGAACGCUGGCGGCGUGCUUAACACAUGCAAGUUGAACGGUAUGACAUGGAAGCUUGCUGAAGUGUCAUAUAGUAGCGGACGGGUGAGUAAUGCAUGAGAAGCUGCCAUUGGGAGGGGGACAACAGUUGGAAACGGCUGCUAAUACCCCGUAUGCCGGAAGGUGAAAGGGAGCGAUCCGCCCGAUGAGGUGCUCAUGUCCUAUCAGCUGGUUGGUGGGGUAACGGCCUACCAAGGCGACGACGGGUAGCCGGCCUGAGAGGGUGAACGGCCACACUGGAACUGAGAUACGGUCCAGACUCCUACGGGAGGCAGCAGUGGGGAAUAUUUGGGCAAUGGGGGCAACCCUGACCCAGCGACGCCGCGUGGGGGGAGACGGCCUUCGGGUUGUAAACCUCUUUUGUACGGGAAGAAGGAAGUGACGGUACUGUACGAAUAAGUCCCGGCUAACUACGUGCCAGCCGCCGC